rnacentral:rRNA from 1 species
AAUUACUGGGCGUAAGCGCACGCAGGCGGUUUGUUAAGCUAGAUGUGAAAGCCCCGGGCUCAACCUGGGAACUGCAUUUCGAACUGGCAAACUAGAGUGUGGGAGAGGGUGGUGGAAUUUCAGGUGUAGCGGUGAAAUGCGUAGAUAUCUGAAGGAAUACCGAUGGCGAAGGCAGCCUCCUGGGUCAACACUGACGCUCAUGUGCGAAAGCGUGGGGAGCAAACAGGAUUAGAUACCCUGGUAGUCCACGCCGUAAACGAUGUCUACUAGAUGUUUGGAACCUCGGUUCUGGUUUUCAAAGCUAACGCAUUAAGUAGACCCGCUGGGGAGUACGGGCCGCAGGGUAAAACCUCA